GGGCAGUCCCCUUCAGUAAAGAGAUCUCACAGAGGAAAUGCCACAUUGGGAGGUGAGAGAUGUCAUCAGGCUGGCAUGAGUUUUCAGACAGAGAAGAAUUAUCUAGGAAUUACUGCAAAUGAUUUGGAACCAGAGAAGCAGAGCCCUCCUCAGAGCUGCCCCUAAGAAUGAGACCUUUUCCAGAACAUUCAAGAGAAGAUAUUUCCAAUGACCAGACAAAUACAUGGAACAUCUGGGACUCAAGACAAAAUGAAAUAAUUAAAUGUACAUUGGGAGUGGGUUACUAGCAUACAAGGA